AAAAUAAUAAAAAUAAAUAAAUAGAGUAAAUAAUAGGUCGUAAAUGCCCCUAGCUAUAAAUAGCAACAUGCUAGGUUUUUCAGACUAACUCUUCAGCCUCCUCUGCCCCUCAUUUUCAUUUUCCCCUUCUCCUCUCAAAACCCUUUCUUUUUCCCGCAGCUCACUAAACCUGUCUCGGAAAAAUUGCGAUCUCAAACUCAUUCAUUGUUGGAUCGUUGUGAAAUUUAAACACCAGGUUCACAACCCAAUUCCGACCAUUCUCACCGUUGGGAAUUUCAAAAUCAUGUCUGAGCUUAUAGGAAAAUCAUUCGCAUUGUAGCCUUUUAAUUUCCCGCAGAAACCCAAAACUGUCUUGGUAAAACUAUGAUCCCGGUUUGUUUAACCGUUGGAUUUUCAUGAAAUUUGUAUAUGUUGUUGGAAAUGUAAUUGCGCACACUUUCACCGUUGGGAUUUGCGAGAUAAUAUUCUUGGAGGGAGAAAAAGGAAUCGCAUGAAGACAAUACAAGUGGAGGUUUCAAUCUCUUAUCCGUCUCUCUAACGUUUGAGAAUUCUAUAGGAGCAGUCAGAGGAAUAACUGAAGGAUUCUCAGGGAACCGCUAGAGAUGAUGCUAUCACUAGCUGAAGACACGUGAGUCCGCUCAGAGGUAAGGGAUGAGUUAUUCACAAUUGGGGAUUAGUGAGAACAUGUGUAGGGAUCCUUAGAGAUAUCAAUUGGAAUGAGUUUUGGGGUGUUUUUGCAAUUUUCAUUUUAUCCUUAUAAUUAUUACAGUGAAUUAUAUAUGUUUGACAUACCAAUUGUUGUGAAAUUGAUAUGCUAUUGUGUUGUGCAUGAACCCUAUAAAUCGAGCAUUUUUCUAAUUAAUAUGAAUUGAUGAAAUAAAGUAAGAAAAAAUUUAGAGAGAGAUAUUGAUUUUGUAUUUUCUCUUUUUUUUUGCUUUUUUUUAGGUUUUUAUAUAUAAUUUAAAAAAUUAAUAUCAUAAUUGAAAUUGACCAAAGUGUUCAUAUAAUUAUUUAGAAUUUGUACAUUGAAAGCUUACUUUGAUAUUUGUGAUUCAAUAUGAUGUAUGCUAGCUUAUAUAUAUAGAGGUAGUUAUUUAUAUUAAUAAUUUAUGUAAAUAAUAUUGUAGAGUGUUAUAGUAUGAUUCCAAAAAUUAUUAAGUGUUGGAGUUUGAGAAUAUUAUGGUUAAAUUUGAUGAACAUGUGUGUGUUGUAUCUUAUGAAUACCAUUAGGAAUGUUAUGAGAUGGUUGAUGUGAUGUUAUGAGAUGUUAAAGUGUGGACAUGAUAUUCGGUUGUGAAUAAGCCGAUGUGUUUAACACUUGAUGUUACAUUAAUUAUAUUGUGAGCUAUGAAUUAUACAAUAACUCGACCAGUGUUUAUGCGUAGUCUUAAAGAGAAAGUGUAGGUUCCUAGUUAGGAACCAGUGUUAAAUUCUAGCGCAAUUGUGUUAAACAUGUUUGAAACAUGAGUGUGAGGUCGUGGUAUUGUAUAAUUCAUGAGCAGUGCUUAUAAAUGAAAUAUGUGAUGAAUUAUGGAAUAAUAUGUUGCCUUGAGAUUAUAAUAUUGUUAUUGAGAUUGAGUAAAAGUGUAAAGUAGAACAUAUGUUGAAUUGUGAGAUUAGUGAAAACAUGUGAUGAUGGAUUGUGACAUUAUGAGAUGUGAAAUUGUGAAUGAGUUUUGGUUGUAAAUAAGUGUGUGAUUAACUCUUGAUGUGAAAUUACUUGUGUUGUAAGCUAUGAAUUGUACAAUAACCCGACCAGUGUUAUCUUGAGAAAAAUGUAAAUGCGCAGUGUUAAAGAGAAAGUGUAGGUUUCCUAUUUAGGAACAAGUGUUAAAGAGAAAGUGUAGGUUUCCUAUUUAGGAACCAGUGUUAAAUUGUAGCGCAAUAUGUUGUACGUGUUUAACACACGAGUGUGAGGUCAUGGGUAUUGUAAAAUUCAUGAGCAGUGUCUGUGUGCUAAAAUGAUUUUAGGGGUUGGACCUGAAUCAGGAGGGAGAGGCCCUGACGGACUCUUCGGAGUGUAGGCCUUGGGGGUCACCGGGUUUGAGUGCUCCUUUAAGCCUAUGCUGAUCCCUUAUGGUUGGAGCAUUCUGGCAAAACAUCGUGACCCUGACUGGUCUCCCUAUGAUCUUACUUAGUGAGAGUGACCUGACAAACUCAUUGUGUGGUGUGUCUUGUUAUGUACUCCUAAGCGCCCCAGGGUGGUUUUUCACUGACAUGGUACCACAUUGCAUAUAGGCUUGAGUCUUAGCAUAACUGUCUCAUGCACUUGCUAAUUGUUUAUUAUGAAAUUGAUGUGUUAUUAUGUCUUGAUCAGAGCGUGUGAUUCUUGUGUAAUGUGAUUGAUGAUUGAAAAGUGAACUUUGAAUGACAAAGUGGUGGAAUUACGUGAAUUAGGUGUAACUAAGUUUUAUUUGGUUUAUAUGAUAUGUAUAUCUAGUUGCAUUGUUUCUCUAUUAGUUAGGAAUGAGAUAACUCACUCCCCGUGUGUUGUUUGUGUUUGGAUCCUGUGAUGAUCUUGAACUUUGUGUUCGAGGGAGCAGAUGACUAGGUGAAUUGCUUUAAGGAACCAUGUGCUGAAGAACGUCGGGACACAAUGCUCUGAUAGGAUGUGGUAUUGGGGUAUAAGAUUUUAUAGACGGCCUUGUUUGAGCUGAAGUGAAUUUAUUAUUUAUUUAGAAAAGUUUUAUGAUGAUGUUAGAAAGGUGAAUGUGAGCCUGCUACCCUCUUGAAAGUUUUGUAUUUGAAUAUGUUUUAAAAACUUGAAUUAAGUUUAAUUUUUUGUAAUUAUUUUUUUUUUAUUAGUACAUAUGUGUGGGGUAGAGGGUGUGACAAAAAACAUUUUCAAAGAGAGUGACAUCGCUAGAUUCCAUAAUAGUACCGUUAGAAAUUUCAGACACAUCUAAAUCAAUAGCCAAGAAUCUAUCAUUAGUACUAUGCAAAGAAUACCCAACCAACAAUCAAUAGUUUUUGGUCCAAUUUUUCCUUUCUUAUUAAUAGGAAUGUUAACAUUUACUAGACACUCCCACACUUUAAGAUAUUUCAAAUUUGGUUCUCUUUUUCUCCAUAGCUCAUAAGUUUUUUUUUCAAUUUUUUAUAAGGUACUCUAUUAAGAAUAUGACAUGCAAAAUAUAAAGCUUCACCCAAGUGUUCAUUUUAUUGUUAUGUGUGUCGUAUUUUCACAUAUUUAUUUUUUGUAGCAAGGAGCUACAUAUAUAGAGGCAACCAGUCACCAACGUGUAGCAACAAAAUACUUGCAACAAUAAUGUUAAAAACUAAAUAAAAACCAAACAACAAAAUUUCUAAUUUUAAAGACUUGUAACGUUCACAAAUGAAUUUGACUAAAUAAAAGAUAGUUUCCUCACAUAGGGAAUGGAAGUAGUGGGAUGCUUUUAGUUUUUCAUGAAAACUAAUUCUAAAAGCAUUUUAUCUUUAAAAAAACAAUAUUGACAAAGAAAAUAUAUUUUCAUUUUAAAUUUCAAAUUAUAAGAAAAUAUUUUUCAACAAUCUCCUACUAAUUUAAAAUUUAAGGAAAUGAAAUAAUAUAAUAAAAAUAUUUUUAAUGGAACAUAAUGAUGCAUUGCGUUUUCACCCGUAAAUUUUUUAGGCUAACCAGAAAAGGACCUAAUCAUAUCCAUGACAAACAUUUUGAUAAGACAUAAUGCUAUUGCACAAAAGACAAGACUAUGCAAGAAAAAAGUACACAUUUUUCUCUCUAUGACUGUUAGAAAAAUUAAAAUAAAAUGAAAGAAAUAAAUAAGAAGAAAAUGCAAAGCCUUGAAUUAAAUAACAAAAUAACAUUAGCAAAAUAACUUUAAUUGGCAACACAUGAAUCAACAAUGCACUAUAUCAUACAAUAAACACAAGGAAAAAAUAAAUUAGGGGAAGAAAUAAUUAGCCUGGGUUAAAGCGUGCAAAUGUUAUCCUUAGAGAGAAAAUACCCCCACUACACUGGUAGGAAAAUCUAAUUGCGCUCCUUUCCCAAGAUACGACAACCCGUUGGUUCCGAUCGUGUGCAACAAAUGGAUUCGCGAACCUUUCGAACACUAAUGUUCUUGCUCUCAUAAAUAAGUUUUUUAUGAUAGAAGGAAGAGAAAAUUUUAGGGAGAAAGAAAUCAGAUUGUUGCUCAGAUUGUUGUUGUGCUUGUGUUUUCUAGAGAUGAGGAAAGAGAUAUAUAUAGGCAUAGACCCCCUUAUGCAACAACAAAAAUCUGACCGUUGGAACCCAACUUAUAGAUAUCAAAACAAAUGUAACAACUUACAUAUGUCAAAAUAAACUUAACAAAUUGCAUUGACCUGUUAAAACAAAAUCUUAGAAAAUAUAAGAAAUCUAAUUUUACGUAACAGAUUCUAAAAUAAAUAUUUUAUUUUAUAAAAUAGAAUUAAUAUAAGUAAUAUAUAUUUAUAAAUUUUAAAUUAUAAAACAAUAUUUACUAAAAGAAUCAAAGGAGAAAGAGGUGAGAAAAGUAAUCAAGAGAGUAAUUUGAACGAAGACAUUAAAUAAGUGUAAGACUCUUUAGAAGUGAGUCUACCUUCUUCCAACAGUGCAAAAUUUGUAGUGUCUUUUUGUGUGCAUGUUAUUGAUCCCUCUUUUCUAAGUACCAUGAGGGGACCACCUCUCUCAACAACAUUUUUUCAUAAUAAUAAGAAUAACAAUAUUUAAAGCUGAGUUGGCCUUUUACUUCUACUUUGUCAUUUCUGAUGGGGGACCACCACUCUCAAUGACAAUGCUUUUUUCAUAACAAGAAGAGUAGUGCUUUUAAAAGAUGAAAUGACAUUUUGCAACCAUUGAAUAAUUUUUCAUGUCAUUUAUUCCAUGAGUUACUUAUCCCUCCUUUCUAAGUACCGCAUGAGGGCCACCACUCCUAAAGACAACAUUUUUUCGUAAUAACAUUAUGUUAAGUGGUUAGGUGAUGCAAGCAGUCUUGAUAUUGAUUGAUAAUGCCUUAAUGAGCCCUUAUCUUUCUGGGUGUAUGUUGUUAGUAAGCUUAUUUCUCUCUUGAUGCAUGAAUUAGUGUUGUGGAAGCCUUUGAACCGUAUACAUAUACAUAAUUUUAUAGUUUUUAAUUAAUUUUUACCGAUAAAAAUAUGCUUAGUACAACUAUGUAAGAAAAUGUGUUCAUAGUCCAUAUCAAAUUAAUGUCAAAUGUUAUUAUGAAAAGAUGUUGUCAUUGAAAGUGGUGGUCCUCAUGUGGUACUUAGAAAGGAAGGAUAAGUAACUCAUGCAAUAAACGACACCCAAAAUUACUCAAUGGUCACAAAAGGUCAUCUCACCUUUUAAAAGUGUUACUCUUAUUAUUAUGAAAAAAGCAUUGACAUUGAGUGUUGUGGUCCCCACACCGCACUUAAAAAGCAGAGAUUAGUAACUCAUGCAUGAAACGACACCUGAAAUGACAAAGUGCAAGCAAAAGGCAAACUCAUCUUUAAAUAUUGUUAUUCUUAUCAUUAUGAAAAAAACGUUGUUGUCGGGAGAGGUGGUCCACUCAUGGUACUUAAAAAAGAUGGAUCAGUAACAUGCACACAAAAAGACUUUAUAAAUUUUUGUAGUGCUAGAAGGCAGAUUCACUUCCGAAGAGCCUUACACUUAUUUAAUGUCUUUGUUCAAUUUACUCUCUUCAUUACUUUUCUGACCUCUUUCUACUUUGAUUCAUCCAUGGUGAAAAAACAACUAAUUGUGCCUCCAAACUUAAAAGUUGGUUUCUCUUUCCUCACUCCUUUGUUCUUCAAAUUUCUUUAUUUCCUUUAAUUUAGAUGCUUUAUUUUGUUUUGUGUGUUUUUUCUCUCAUUCCAUUUCAUUUGAAAUCAUAUUGAAGGAUAUUUCAAACUUGAACUCUAAGAUUAUAUAUAUUAUUUUGUAUCUAAUCUCAUUUUGAAGCAUAAAACUAAACAAUUAUCUAUUCCUUUACAUUUAUGUGUACAAAUAUCACACACAAUAUUUAAGUUUGCUUAACAUAUUGUCAGUUAGCUUGCAGUUAAUUUCAAUUGUAUUUUCAUAGGAAAAACAUAGAGACUUUGGAAAAAAUUUGAGCCUUUGGUUUAAUGAUCAAGCUGCUAAUAUCAUAAAAGGAGUCUUUAUGCUUUCUUCAAGAAUUGACAAACCAUUUUGUAAGUACAAUGGUUUCAAUUCAUGAAAGCAUGUAGAAAAGGUUCACAUCAAUAUUGUGGACUUAUCAUUGGUUGAAAGAGUGAGGAUUCCAUACAUGAAAAAAUUACCACCAUAUUACAUUUUGGAUACAUGUGGUUCGAUGAGCAUUUCACUUUCAAUUUUCAAAGACUAUUUUUCGGCCUAGAUGUCUUAGAUGUGCAAUGCUGGCCAGACAAAAGUUACAUGCUUGUAUUUUGUUUUUCAAAUAGAAACUUGCAUAUAUGGAGAUUGUGCUUAACUAUUUUUUGAUUUUUCAAAAUCUUUCAUGCUUAAUAAAAAUGAGAUAAUGGCUCAAGAUCUUUGAGUUAUUGGAAAAAACCAAAUAUAUUAUGAUAAAAACCCUAAGUAUGUAAACAUGGCUUCGCUAAUGUUGAAGACUGAAUUUUUGUGCAAUAAAUUAAAAUGCAAAUAAUAUACUUGCAUAUGGAACUUCUACAUGCGAGUACAUCUCCAUGUUCAUUUAGUGUGCAAAAUUGGGUCUUGUGGUUCAAUAAAGUCUAUUUAACAUCCUUCGGAUAUUUAUCGUAGUACAUUUGGCUUUUACCAAUGACUUAUUGAUCUUUAACCAUUCAUUCAUUCUAUUCAAAAUACAAGAUUUAGAAAAAUAAAAAAAUAGAUAAACACAAUAAUCUCCAUUUUAAUUUAUACAUAAUAUUUUAUAAUAAAGUUUCUUUUUCAAAACAGAAUAUAACAAAAAUAUUGUUUUUCUUUGGCAAAAUUGUAUUACACGUAUGGAACAUCGGGACAGAAAAUUAGUUUUUUUAAGCAAAAUGUCAAAUGCACAUGGCCACAUGUAUCCAAGAUGUAUAUGGUGGCAAUUUUUCCAUGUAUGGAAUCCUAAUACUUUUAGCAAAUGAUAAGUCCACAUUAUUGAUGUGAAACCUCUAUCAUAUCUUUAGGAAAACCAUUGUACUACCAAAUGGAUUGUCAAUUCUUGAAGAAAGCAUCAAGACCAAGUUGAUCAUUUAGAAUAAAGGCUCAAGAGUCUUCCAAUGUACUCUUUAAAAAAAAUUUCUACUAUGUCAACGCAACUUAGAUCAACUGCAAAAGCUAACUAGUAAUGUGUUAAACAAAAACAAACUCUUCUCAUCCUUUCAUUUUGUAAUGGAAGAAAACAAAUUAAAAUAUGCAAUGAUGAGGAAAAAGUUACAUGCAAUAAUAUAAUAGAAGACAGGAGAUCAUCAUCGUAAUUCUAGUAAAGUAGUGGUGUUUCUACUCUUAUUUCUUAGCAUAGGAAGUUCAUCCAUUGAUGAGGCCAUUUUUGUAUUUCAUGCAAUAUUUUCAAAUUCACACAUGCAAAAGGCGCAUACAACGACGGUUGUAAAGGACAUUCAAAGAUGGUUUUGAACCGUCUUUGAAGUCAACAUUGUUGAUAGUCUUUGAAAAGGAUAUCCAUCUAAAAAGGUUUUUAGCUAAAAAACCGUCUUAAAAUAUUGUCUUUCUGAGACGAUUUUUUGAAAACCAUCUUAAAAAAUUAGUCUUUUAAGAUGGUUCUUAGAAGGAUACCCUUUUGAGACGGUUUGUCAGACAACCAUCUUAUAAUUUUUUUUAAAAAAAUUAAAUAAAGAAAAUAUUAUUAUUAAAAAUUAUAUAUACAUAUAUAUUAAAAAUAUUUUAAUAUUUUUUUAAACCCAAAAAUUUCAUAUUUCAUGCACAACAGCAUAUAAAAAUUUUAUAUUAUUUUUAAAUAAACAAUUUAUAUUAAAUCAACACAAAUUGGGUAACAAAUGAAUUUUGUAAAAUAUGCCAACUUGUAACAAAAAAAAUUUCAACUACCUAUGUGCACACACAUAAUGCAUGGAUUCAUUAUCUCAAAUUUUGGUAGUAAAAUAUUACUAUAUUCUUUAUCUAAUAAAACUAAGUAAUUAAUAUAUAGAUAUUAUGUACAUCAACAAAAUAUGAUGAUGCAUCAGACUUUUGGAAUUUUAUGUUGAUAUUAUUAUACACAUACAUCAUAUAUAUAUUUUCUCUCGAAUAUGAACAUGUAUUGGUGUUCAUUGUGUGGUAGCACAUGUUUCCAAACCAAUCAAACGAAUGAACAUAAAAGAUAUAUUUCUAAUUCUUUUUUAAAUACUCUUCUGAAGUCUCUCAAACCACAACUCAAACAUACACGGUAUUAUUUUCUAAAGAUAAUUCUAUUUAAAAUAUGAGUUUAAUAAAUAUGUAUUGUCCUACUAAUAUAAAAAGUUUUAUAUUAUUAUUUAAUUAUAAUAAUUGACUAUUGUGUGUACCUUACAUAUUGAGGGCUAGCGCGAGUGUAAAAGCCCACGUUCAAGCAACUUCCAGUGUCAUGCAAAUUUUAUCAAACAUGAAAGCUUUAAUUUAGAAGAGUAUUAGCAAUCACCUUUUAACCUAUAGUUUUAGAUACACUUAUCUUAUUAUUAUUAAAAUUUAUUCAAAAUUACAAAAUCAUGUGAGUAAAAUAUAUUAAAUAAAAAAGUGAGACUCAUUAAAUAUUUAUGUUUUUAAUAAAUAUUAAUCAAUAAUAAAAAAAAUAUGUUCUAAAAAUAUAUUAUAUUACAAAGUAUGAUGUUGACGUUUCUCUUUACUUUAAGACCAUUUUUAAUCUUCUAUCAUCAUCGAGUUAAAUUCUUCACUUUUCAAGUGAAACAAUGGAGUAAGAAAUCUAACUGUAUCAUUUCCCCUUCACUGUGUUCCAUCUAUAGAAUUCAGUAAUGAAAUUUCGUGAGUUGUGCUAGACUGCCAAGAGAAAAUAAUGCCUAGAAUAUUGCAAAAUUAUGCUCAUGUUUUCAUAUAUAUUAUAUUUAAAUUAAAUUUAAAUAGUCAUACCCGUAUAUAGGAUGAACAGAUAUGCGAUGAAGGAGCAAAGAGUGGCAAGUAGAUAGCCAUAGCCAUCGGUAGAAGUGUGGAAAGAUAACCGAUCCUCAUCAAUGUUCAUCAUGGAAAAUGUUGAAGGUGGAACUUCAUCACCUAUAAAAUGAAUCCAAUCAUUAUUAACAUACAAAAAGGGAAAGACCAGUUACUAGAUAGAAAGAAGGAAACAAAGAAUAGGUCAGAAAAUGACUAAGAAAUCAUAAUAAAAUAUCACUGGAAGUUCAAAGUCAAUUGACUUUAAAGUGUCCUACAAAUUUGAUGUAAAUUUUUACUGUGACCACUUUGAUUUCCAUGCACUUGUAAUAAAUCAUUUGCUCAAAAAGAAACCCUAUAAUUUUAGUAAGAUCUCUUAUAUGGAAGAAUUCAAUCCUGGUUUGCCUAAAUGCAAUCAUACUCUUAGCCAAAAAGAAACAAGGCAGCCAUGAAAAUGUCAUGAAUUCAAUGAAUAACGCGUACAUCACAUGACUCAGAUAAAUACCCCAAGGUGGUGGAGCAAACCCGCCUCUAAUUUCCCUAAAAUAUUAAAUGCGAUACUAGUUCCAUCAAGAGACGAUUAUUUAACCACCCGAGACCUCCAAUUUGUGACCUGAAACAGGUAACAUUUGUCUCAAGUUAAUUCAUAAAACCUAAUAGUUAAAUUAGAAAACUCAUAUCAUAUCUUGUGAUGGUUAUCACUGAGUGGGGUAAAACUAUGAACUCGCAACAAUUAGCAAACAUCAACCUCAUAGGAGAUCCACAUACAUUAUAAAGAAGAAAAAAAAUGAAACUCUGCAGUAUAUCAUUGACCAAGAGCUGCAAAAAUUCUCAAAAGGAAGUGGGAUUCACAUAACAAUCAUUUCAUACAAACUAUUACUCACCUGCACGGCUGCAGUUGCUAACCAAUGCUUCCUUAUCCUCCAUUUUAAAAUACAAGAAUGCAAGCGAGUUCAUUUGGUAAAAAAAAAAAGAAAAAUUCAAUAAGAAAGUCAUUAAACCAUUUAAAAUUCAAAAUAUUCAAAGAGACAACAUUUGCAAUUAGAGUUGUUUAAUUUAAACCAUCACCCAUGUAAAAUGAAUCACACAAGCAUAAAACACCGUGCCACUAAUGAAUCCAACAUUAACUCACUCGUUACAUAAUGUGUGAUUGUCAAAAGUAAUAAAAUUUUGCAAGUCCAUAAACAUAGACAGGUAUUUAGCCCGAGACCAAAAAAACAUCAACUAGAUUCUCAGAUGCACUAAUCAAAUUUUCAUAUCAAAUAGCAAUGGCAACCCCAACACUCACUAAUAUUCACAGUUAACAGAGUCAACAUCAUUAGAAACUAAGCCACAACUGCAAAUAAGUGUAAUUGUAAAUGGACUAUACCAAUUAUCAACCUUUCCCGUCGAACUCUCGGGGAACUCAAUCUUCUUUUCAAUUGACAUGUCACUGGAUUUCGCAUCAUCUAAUCAUUUUCAACAAAAUUACAAAUAAUAAAUGUAAUAAAAUGAGGAACAUGGAUCUGGGCAUGCAAAAUUCAAUUAUUAAAAUUAAAUCAACUUAAUAACAACUCCAGGAGCAUGCAAUUUUGAAAAUAACAGCUGCAUUUUUUCUUCUAAAACAUAAAAAGGUUACCUUUGGGAGGGUCAACGAAAGGGGAUGAAAAGAGAUGAUCGAGUUCUCUGUGAAGAACCAUAAUUAGUUGAUGAUGGAAGCAACAAGCAGAUCUAGGAAAUGGGGUCGAAGAGAAGAUUGAAAAGAAACAGAUUAGGAUUAGGUACACACAAAUCAGAAACACAAAGCCGCUCCACUAAAUUCGUAGUUAAACAGCUAGCAUAAAAAGCUAAAAAUAUAUAUCUUCAAGUUAAGAAAAACACAAGACUUGUACAUCAUAAGCCAAGAGGGCACAUUUCAAUUCCCUAGUCUCCUCCACAUCAUCCAAAGAAAAACACAAGACUUGUACUCUCAUAGUAAUUUUAACAAACACUUACAGCACAAUAUAUCAGAAAGCUCAUUGGUAUCCUCAUUUUUGUCAAUCGAAUCCCCUGCACCAGAAACCAUUUAGCUCCAGAAACCAAAAACCCAUUAACACAACAAGGCACCUCUACAAAAACAUAAAUGCAAACAUGGGUAGGCGUAAAAAUUGAAACUUGAAAAAAGGAACAUCUUUGGAAGUGUCACGAGCGAGGUCAGGUUCUGAGGAGAGGUGUAUUUCGUCUUCAGAUUCAGGAAAAGGUUUUGUGAAGGGGGCAACAUUGGUGUUGUUGCAAUUGCGGGUUAACAACUUCGAGUGGAAGAGGUUGCUGAGGGUGCAUAGCUUUCUUACGGUGGGGGCACACAUCUACAGUGGUUCACGAAAUGACACAUUUAGGGAAGAUAUUGCAGAAGUGACGAUUUGAGAAGAAGAAGGGGAAUUAGGAAGAACAUGUUGCGGACCAUUGCAACCAGUUCUCUGGUGAGCCUUAGGUUUGAGCGACGCUACCUAGCUAGGUAUGUAAACUCGAGAGGAGAGGAAGGGAUGCGAUGCGAAAUAGGCACGUGUGUACAUGAAAAAAUAAGAGGCCUACGAUGGUUCCUUUUCAAGACCGUCUUUAAAAUCCAUAAAAAUUAUGAUUAUUUACAAAAUUACCACUGCGUCUUCGUAGAUGACAGUUUUUUAAGAUUGUCCUUGAUACAAUGUUGUAGUAGCGUUGGUUUGUAGUAGUGUCGGAAAAACAAUUAACUAAACUUUCUCCAUACUUACUCACCAAAAUAGUAUCAUUGUGUAUUCUUAAAUUUAUUACACUACAUAAAUUUUUCAUUAUAUCCAAAUUAACAUUUUAAUUGUUAUUCAAGUACUUUCUAAUUAUUGAAAAGUAUGUAAGGACACAUAUUUUUACAACAGAUCUCCUUAGCAUUUUUUGAAGUAGUUUGAUUAUGUUGCUACUUCACUCUUAAUUUUCUUCGGUUUUCAUGAAAGCAUGCAUUUAGGAAUGGAGGUCUCGUAGAAUUUUCACUUGGAUUCUUUUCAGUGAAAAUGUCGACACCAUAUUCUAUUUGGUGAAAAUGUCUACACCAUCAUAGCCUCAUAACUCCUUUUUUUAUUAUUAUUUAAAUUCUCGAUCUCUCUUUUUCUUUAAAUUAAGGGCUAAAUUUUUACUGUUUAGUAUAAUGUCACAUAAGGAAAUCUAAAUUUUUGUUUGCAAUAAGUUUCUUCAAUUUUAUGCAAUGAGAUUGUUUGCAUUUAUUUUAAUUGGCAAUGUAGGGUGAAUCUUUUCAUAUGUCUUGGAUAAUGUGUUAGACUGUAAGUAAAAUAUCAUCAUCAUCUCCAUUUAUUGCAAGUAUAUAUGCUUGUGAUAGACAUUAUGCGAUAUUAAAAUAAUUAAAAAAGAGAUGUAUUUGUAAAAUAUACAUAUACUGAUCUAAACAUGCAAAUCAAUUAAAAUGACAUAUUUAGAUCAAACAGCAGAAAUUAAAAAAUAUUACGAGCGUACCUUCAGUCAUUGCAAAUUGAACGGGAAGUGGCACACACACGAACCUGAAAGACAGUUUUGUUCUUCCAGACCCUUACUCACUCUGAAAAGAUGGUGUAUUUUUUCUAAAUAGAGAAGUGGGUUUGGUGAUACAAAACUGAGAGCACCCCAUCCUAUUUAUAGAGUCUGUCCAUCACAGAGCUCUCAACUUGUUAUCAGAACGUAAGAUAGGAAGUUAUCAGACGUGAAAUAAGAAGUUAUCAGUACGUGAGAUAAAUUAUGGAUACGUGAUUUGUUACUGAAUGUAGUUGCAAAUAUAUUGCAAAGAUAUGGGUUGAAUGUAGAUGGAAAAUGGACCAGAUUCAAAAUAACUAAUUUUUUCAAAAUAAUAAAAUUAAUUAAUUAAAAGAACGUGAAAGUGAACGUGCGCUUCCAAUAGUAUUAACUCUAUAUUGUUGGGAUUCAAUCAAUCAACCUAUUUUCAUUCUAACAGACAAUCAUCAAUCCUAACCACAUGCUUUCUAUUCAUGUAGAGAGAAAUUACUAUACAAAGAUGAAUAGAAUCCCUUUGUGUUCCCAUACUCAAAAUCAUGAUGAAAACUAGAUACGGAAGUGUACCUGGAUUAGUCAUAAUGGAAUAAUGAUGAAGAAAGGUUUAUCAGAAAGUUGGUUUAAUGACCUUCCAAUUAUAUAAUGGUCAUAACUCAUUCAAUUAUGAUAUAUAUAUAUAUAUAUAUAUAUAUAUAUAUAUAUAUAUAUAUAUAUAUAUAUAUGACCUAAAAUUACUAACAAUCUCCCACUGGUCACAAAUAUAUAUAUCCUUACCAUCCUUAUGAAUGUGUUAGACUUUAUGAGCUCAAAAUUUGCCAUUACAUGCCUUGAGCAUAUUCCAAAAAUCUUGUCCAUUGAUUACAUCUGCAUGUAGAACCAAAGCAGUUUUCAUUAUAUCAAUCACAACUAAACCCAUCAAUGAUUACUAAUGCUGAUAAAAUCAAAUGACAUAGACACAUCAAGAAAUGUGUAGCAUGAAAAUUAUGUGAAGGUGGUCUGUACACGUCUAUUUUCAACUGGUCCUACUUUACCUCAAUGAGAUCAUUUAAUAACUUUAAUGUACAAAGUGUAAUAACUGAAUAAUAAACCAUAUAUAUUUAACCAAAUAUAUCCAAAAGUUAAUGUAUGCAUACAUAAAAUCUAACAUAGAACAUAAAAUACAUAAAAGUGACUAACUCCCACUAAACCAAAGAUUCCUCGAACUGUAAAACACCAAUGUGAGCAACAUGCUCAUGAAAGACCUUGGGUGGAAGUCCCUUAGUAAUAGGAUCUACUAUCAUGAAGUUUGUCCCUAAGUGUUCUAUGGAAAUUUGUCCACUCUGUAUCCUUUCCUUAACAACUAGGAACUUGAUGUCAAUAUGCUUCGACUUGGUCGAGCUCCUGUUGUUGUUAGAAUACAAUACAGUUGAUUUGUUGUCACAAUAUAACUUAAGUGGUCUUUCAAUUCCUUCCAUAAUUUUCAGACCUGUGACAAUUUUUCAACCAUAUUCCAUGAUUUGAUGCCUCAUAGCAUGCCACAAAUUAUGCCGCCAUAGUGGAUGAAGUAGUAAGAGUUUGCUUGGCACUGCACCAAGAAACCACACCACUGGCUAACAUGAAAAUGUAACCUAAAGUGGAUCUCAACCUAUCUAGGCAUCCUGCAAAAUAUGAGUCAAAAUACCCAGUGAUCUCCAACUGAUCUAACCUCUUGUAUGUGAGCAUAUAAGACUUUGUUCUCUUCAAAUACCCCAUAACUUUUUUGGCUGCUUUCAAAUGAUCCAUUCCUGGAUUGCUUAAAUAUCUUCCUAAUACCAUAACUAUGUAUGCUAUAUCAGGAUGCGUACAUACUUGGGCAUAGAUCAAACUCCCUACAGCUGAUGCAUAGGGAAUCUUCUACAUUUCCUGAAUUUCCAAAUUUCCUUUAGGGCACUAUUUGAAACUAAACUUGUCUUCCUUAGCAACUGGAGUAUCCCCGGAUUUACAUUCCUGCAUGCCAAACCUUUUAAGUACCUUUUCGAUAUAGCUCCUUUGUGAUAAUCCUAUAAUACCCUGAGAUCGAUCUCGGUGUAUCUUAAUUCCUAAUACAAAGGAGGCGUCACCAAGAUCUUUCAUUUCAAAGUUUCUUGAUAGAAAUCUCUUGGUUUCAUGCAACAUGCCUAUAUCAUUAGUGGCAAGCAGUAUGUCAUCAACAUAUAAGACCAAGAAAAUGUACUUGCUCCCACUGAAUUAGUGAUACACACAAUCAUCAACAAGAUUCAUCCCGAAAUCAAAUGAGAGAAUUACUUGAUGAAAUUUGUGGUACCAUUGAUGAGAUGCCUGUUUUAGCCCAUAAAUGGAUUUUGUCAGUUUGCAAACCAUAUUCUUUGGGUCUCCCAACACAAAGUUUUCUGGUUGCACCAUAUAAAUUGUCUCAUUAAUGUUGCCAUUGAGAAAUGUCAUCUUGACAUCCAUUUGAUGAAGCUCCAAAUCAUAAUGUGCAACAAGAUUCAUGAUUGUCCUAAAAGAGUCUUUCGAUGAAAUUGGAGAGAAAGUCUCUUUAAAGUUAAUCCCUUCCUUCAAAGUAUAGCCCUUCGCCACAAGACGAGCCUUAUACCUCUCCACAUUACCUUUGGAAUCCCGCUUGGUCUUAAAUAUCCAUUUGCAACCAAUGGGUUUUCACACAUUCUGAUAAUGGGACAAGUUCCCAAACCUUAUUGUCUUGCAUGAACUUAUACUCCUCAUUCAUUGCUUCAAUCCACUUUUCUGAAUUGGAAUCUUGCAUGGCUUGAUGGAAUUUGACUGGGUCAUCUUCCAUCAUACCAUUAUUUUCCUCAUGUUCCUGGAGAAAUACCACAUAAUCGUCUGGAAUGACACUUCUCCUUUCUCUUGUACAUCUCUGCAAAGGUACUGGCUCAUGAAGCAUAGGUUCUUGAGGAUCUUGAGUUUGUUCUUCAUGAACGACCAAAUUAUCUUGAGUGGGGGAUUCAAUAACAAUAUCUUGUAGAGUUUACGAAUUUUCUUUAUCAAAAGCAACUGUAUGAAUCGGUUUUGGAAUUGUUACUGAUUCUUCCUCCAAGACAAAGUCUCUAACCUUAUUCUUCCCCCCAAAACUCAAUAUCCUCAAAGAAUGUGGCGGUUCCUAUCUCAAAAAUUAUCUUUAAUUUGGGAUCAUAAAAUUUAUAACCCCUAGAUCUUUCAGAAUAACCAAUAAAGUAGUUGCUCACUGUUCAGGAGUCCAAUUUCCUUUCAUUUGGCUUAUAAGGCCUUGCCUCAAUUGGACAUCCCUAUACAUGAAAAUGUUUCAGACUAGGCUUUUGCCCAACCCAAAGCUCAUAAAGUGUUUUUGGCAGCUGCCUUGGUUGGCAAUCUAUUUAGAAUGUAAAUAGUGCCUCUUCUUUACAUGUCUAGGCUUAUUGCAAAAGAAACCGUUGUCACCUUGAUUUUGUUUCUUUUGUGUUGGACCCUUAGGAGCUUCAUUCUUGGGCUCCUCAGUUCUUUUUCUUUUGCCCUUAUCUUUAGAGUUACUCUCAACAUGAGCACUUUCAGUCCUUUCUUGCUUCAUCUUCUCCUCUUCUUGCACACAUUAAUGAAAUGAGCUCAUUAAGAGACCAUUUGUCCGUCUGACAGUUAUAAGACAUCUUAAACUGACAAAACUAUGAAGGCAGAUAAAUUAGCACUAAAUGAAUAAGCAAGUCUUCUGAUGGCUCAAGCUUUAGUGCCCUUAAUUUUGAUGCAAUAUUUGACAUUCCCAUAAUGUAUUCCCUGACAUUUCCUUUUCCUUGAUACUUCAUGGAAAUCAAGUUCUGAAGGAGAGUACUUGUUUCCAUCUUAUCCCUUUUUCAAAGCGCUUUUCAAUUUCAACAAGGAAUUCUUCACCACUAGUUAUAUCAUCUCAAACAAUGCCCCGAAAGACCUCAAGAAUGUCAUGCUUAAUGAUCAUAAGACUCAUGCGAUUUGAAUGAUCCCUCUUCUCAUGAAGUUUCCUUUGUUCAGAGGUACUGGAGUCCGUAGGAGAAAGGGGUUUCUCAAUCCUUAAUGCAAGGUCUAGAUCCAUGCAACCAAGAAUAAUUUGCUUAUUUUCUUUCCAGUCCUUAAAAUUUGCACCAUUAAGAACAGGAACCGAAUUCAAAUUAGCAGAUAUAGAAGCAACAACUGAAAAGAUCAAAACAAAUAAUACAAUAAGCUCACAUAACAGUCAUCAAUGCAUUUAAAUAAUGGUAUAUGUCAUCUCAAGAUAUCUAGAGCAUCCAUUAUAUCAACGUUGAUGAUAAAAGCAUAUCAAAUAACAAAUUCAUCUUUUGAUGUGACUUAUCAUUCACAUGCAAAACCUUAUAAUUAUCACACGUUUAACAUCACGAGUGUGUAUGUAACUUAGUUAAAUGACAACUUUUCUUUGGGCUAAUCAUCAUUCAUAUAAAUAAAUCGCACACGUUAACAUUUAACAUUUCUCAUGAACAAUCUACACAAGAGAGGUCACUUUGGUGAUAUCUUGAUUCAAUUAACUCAUUUAAAUGCUAAAUAAUUAAAAUGAUAUACCAUAACUGAAUUUUGAACAUUGAUGCACCAAAUCCAAAAUUAAAAUGUUUCUUGAGGAAAUUAUUUUAACUUUAUGUAUUUAUUUUAAAUUUUAGAAGCCCAUGAUUAUUAGUUUAAUAUACUACAGUGACCUCUAAAAGUAAGAACAAACACGUAAGUGAUGCAUUUAAAUUUAUAUUUAUUAUCCCACAUGAAACAACUACAUGGUACUCAUAAAAUUUAUAACCCAUUAACACAUCAAAUUUGUAUGCCUGCACCGUAGUGUUGCUCUACAUGCGUUACAUCGAUUUAUUUCGUUUCCUCAAAACAUUGUACCUAAUGUGUUUAUGUCAUACAAACAUCAUACAUGAAUAAAGUAUGGGAGGCUUUGAUAUCAAAUGUUGGGAUUCAAGUUCAAAUAUUGGGAUUCAACCAAUUAGCCUAAUUUCAUUCUAAUAGACAAUCAUCAAUUCUAACCACAUACUUUCUAUUCAUGUGAAAAUAAAUUACUGUACAAAGAUGAAUAGAACCCCUUUGUGUUCCCAUACUCAAAAUCAUGAUGAAAACUAGAUGCAGAAGCGUUCCUGGAUUAGCCAUAAUGGAAUGAUGAUGAUGAAUGGUUGAUCAGAAAGUUAGUUUUAUGACCUUCCAAUUGUAGAGAGUCCUUCUUUUUCUUUCUCUGAAUUUUCCUCUUAUGAUAGGGAUGAUAAAGAGAAACUGUAUGCGUUGGGUUGCUCUCUACAAAUGGGACCAUAACCCCUUAUAUUGCCAUCAGUUACCCCAAACUUGAUAAUUAAAAUUUGGCUCCUCAUCAAAUUAUAAUAUCACUAGUAUCUAUACAAUUAGUCUUUCAUGACAUAUAUGUCUUUAGCCAUACUUUUGCAUUUGCUGAGACCACUUUAAUAUUUUGUCUAAUUAUAUAAUGGACCUAACUCAUUCAAUUAUGAUAUAUAUAUAUAUAUAUAUAUAUAUAUAUAUAUAUAUAUAUAUAUAUAUAUAUAUGACCCAAAAUUAAUAACAUAUAAUCAAUUUUGAAAUCAUUAAUAUAAAUAUGUUCAGAAGAGAUGUUUUGUUUUAAAUAUAAGAUUGUUUUGGGAUCUAUCUUUUGGGGUCUUCAAAUGUGUGAUGCUACAUUUGGCCAUAAGACUUAUAAAUGGAUUGAUGUGCUCCAAAUAGAUGAAGUCAUUCAAGAAACAUCCUUCUCUAAUCAUUCUCUUUAGAUCGUCCAUCAAAGUUAUUCCCUCCACUUUGAUUUUGACUUAGAGAUGCUGCUCAAAGUCAGCAUUUUCCUUUUCUCUUUAGAAUUCGCUCCUAAUCAAGUUCUAGUUUCAAGAUUAUUUUUCAUCAAUUAAAACUAAAUAUUUCCAGCCUGCCAAGAAUGCUGCCUUCAAGCUAUAUGUUAGAAAUUAGAAGUGUUUAUUUCUCAUCUAAUUAAUGCAACACGUCUCAGGAUAGUUUUGUGACCUUUUAGAAAACUUCUAAUUUUUAAUAUAAAGCACAAAAGUCUGAAAUAUUUACGUUGUCAAUCUAAGACAAAAAGUUCAUAGACUAUGUUUUGUCCUAACUUAUUCAGAAGAUGAUCAAAAGUACAAAAUGCAAAUUAUUACAUUGUCAAGGAUUUCAGUCUUAUAAAGUUACUUUAUGUUUGAUAUAAAUAUUUGCGUGAUUUGAUCUAGUGACAAAAAUAAUAUUUGUUUUAAUAACCAUGUUGUGAGUUUGCUUCUGUUUUGUAGAUUAGAUUCCCUGUUAAAAGUACUGAAACAAGGUUGAGCAAAGGUGUUCUCACUGAAAAUUGCCCUACAUUCUAUCAUAAAAGCAGUCUUUCAGAGGUGGAAACUUUUUAUUGGUAAAAUCAUUUGAUAUUUCAAUACGUACUUAGACUCAUAGGUACAAGAUUAUUCUAAUUAUGCAUGUAUAUAUACAAUUUUAUUUACUUUAAAUUUUAUGUGCAAAAUUUGGUAUAGUUUGGUCAAAAGGUGAUUAUUUCCUUUAAAUUCACUGAAAAAGUCAUACAAAUUUUUUAUAUUUUAUGAGUAUUAUAUUUUUUUGAAAGAAAAACUUAAUAUAUCUUGUAGAUUUUUGACAAAAAUAAUUUACAAAUAAGUUUUCUAACAUUUUGUAUUCAUCGAGAGUAUAAAAGUCAUAAAAAACGUGAAAGUCUUAUUAAUAAAGUAGAAAAACCUAUUAUAAUAUCCUAAAAAAGGUAAUUAAGAAAAUAAUUAACAUUUAAAUAUUAUAAUUAAAAUUUUAAUGCAUAUAUAUUGUCAAUGUAUAACAUUUGUGUUAUUAUUGCUAUGGUGAUUUCUUAUCAGAUCAUUAUAUAAAAAUACCUUACACUUGUAAUGCAUAACUUAUUUUCUCUUUAAUUAGAUAUUAAAAAUUAUAAAAAUGAUAUUAUUAAAACUAGUAUAUUUAAUUUAUAUUUCAUAAUUUAAAUUUUUUUUACCAUGGGCCUUCAAAAUAUUUCGAUAAGAUAUGCUAUUGGUGGUUAGUGUUUUUUACGGUUAAUUAAAUAACUUCUUCAUCGGUGUCCCUAAUAAUAUAUAUAUAUAUAUAUAUAAAUGGUCAACGAAGAAUUGUUUAAUAAAUUACACAAAAGUCACAUAAUGUGUCCUCGGGCUUUUUUUCCAAGACUUGUUUUGUAUUUGACUGAUGGGAUACAUGGGGGCAACGCAGAACUUAGUCAGUCUCAAGCUCGUUAGCGCGAAGGAACUUAGAUGGCCUUUCGAAAAAAACUUGUAUUUCUAACAUAUUAAUUUUCACUAAUGAUUCUAUUAACAGUAAAUGUUUGAGUAUGAGAUAUAAAAUUUGUUUUCGAUUGUAUGUUCUUUUAUGUCGAUCAAACAAUUAUAGUUUAUAACUUGUCGAACAAAUAAUUUUAGUUUUCAACUUAAGAGAAUUACUUAAUGAUUUAGAAAGAUAGUGAUAAUAAUUUUAAUGAUAAUGAUCAUUAAUACUAAUAGUUCUUUUUGUGUAAACGGGGUUCAUAGAGUAAUUUCUAUAAUUAACAUUUGUUUAUAUUAGUGUUUUUUUAUAGUAGUUCUAAUCAUGCAAUGUAUAAUAAUGUUUCGAUUAGAAUCAAGCAAAGGGAAUUGGAUAAAAGUAUACUUUAGAAAAGAAAUGGAGAUUUGAAAGAGUAAAAGUUUAGAAAGAUGCAUAAAAGUAAAUGAAACAUAAAUUUGUUAAAAGUGAGACUAAUACAUACACUAUGAAUUUGGAACCGAGAGCCAUUUUUUAGUGAAAGAUGAUAAUAUUGUAUGAGGAUUUGAAUAGUAGUGAUUCAAUCCCACAAAAAUAGUUAUCGGAGGUCUUUAUUUUUAGACUUCUAUUACUAAUAGUCAAAUUAUAAUUUUCAACAUGUAUACAACAAGUUCCUAAUUACUUAGAUCUAACAACGUCUAAUGUGUUCGAGUAAUUCUUUCUCGCCAACCGCAGUAACUUCUGCCUUGAAUUCAAACUCAAACUUCUUGUUUGAGCAUUCCAUUUUUCCAUGUCCAUAGUACUUUUGUCAAAAUCAUCUUCAUCAAAAUAACAACUUUCAAAUGUGUAAGACAACAUCGAAACUAAUUUUAUCGAAAUGGUUUCCUUCACAUGCACAUUUCAUCAUCGAAAUAUCCUCAUAAAAAAUGAACUUAAUUAUACAUCUCAGAAAUUUUCUCAAAUAAAGAUAACACCUAUAUGUAAGUAAAUCAAUUAGUGAUGCUAUAUCAUUAUUCUUAUUAAGGUAAAAUGACAUUAUUUCAAUUAACAUGCCAUAUCAUUAUUCUUAUUAGCUAAGAUUAAUGGGCACAUUAUAUUUUUAUAUUAACUUCUUAAUCCCAAAGGAGAAGAUAUGAGCAAAUGAAAUCCAAACAUGGUGUUCGGGUUUUUUGACGAUCCAACGAUUAACAAUAAUGGAAUCAAAGUUUUACUAAGAUAGAUUUUGGUAUAUGCAAGAAAAAGAUAGCUACAUGUUGAGGAAAAUUUCUCUUACCAAAGACAUUAUGAUAAAUGUAAAACUGACCUAGUAUAUCUCUAUUUAUAAAUAUGAUAUUUUCAUCCUAUUAUUUAUUCUAUUUUUCUUUAUUUUAUAAUUUUUUUUUUAAAAACUAUAUUUUACUCCCUAUCUAAUGAAUAAAUAAAAAAUUCAUUUUAUUUUAUAAGAACAUAUAUUUAUUUUAUUUACCUUAAAAUCAUUAUUUUAAUUAAUAAAAUUAUUUCUUCUCAUUUAUUUAAUUACAAAAACCUCAUUAUUUUGCUAAAACUCUAUUUAUUUUUAAAUAAAAUCAUUUUUAAUUUACUUUACACAAAAAUGGGAUGUUACACAAGAUGUAUAUGGUGGUAAUUUUAUUCAAAAAUUAUGCAAUAAUAUUUUAUAAUAAAUUUUCUUUUUGAAAACAAAAUAUAAUGAAAAUAUGAUUUUUCUUUGGCAAAAUUGUAUUGCACAUAUGGGACAUCGGGACAGAAAAUUAGUUUUUUUAAGCAAAACAUCAAAUGUACAUGGCCACAUGUAUUCAAGAAGUAAAUGGUGUUAAUUUUUCUAUGUAUGGAAUCCUAAUACUUUUAGCAAAUGAUAAGUCCACAUUAUUGAUUUGAAGCCUCUAUCAUAUCUUUAGGAAAAAUAUUGUACAUACAAAAUGGAUUCUCAAUAUUUGAAGAAAGCAUAAAGACCACCUCUCCAAUAUUAUCAACUUGAUCAUUGAGAACAAAGGCUCAAGAUUCUUCAAUGUACUCUAAGCUUUUGUUUUUUCUAUGUAAACACAACUUAGAUCAACUACAAAAGCUAACUAGUAAUGUGCUAAAAAAACCAACUCUUCUCAACCUUUCAUUUUGUAAUGGAUGAAAACAAAUUAAAAUAUGCAAUUGUAAAGAAAAAGUUACAGCCAAUAUUAUAAUAGAAGACAGAAGGUCAUCAUCGUAAUUGUGAUAAAGUAGUGGUGUUUCUACUCAUAUUUCUUUGCAUAAGAAGCCAUUCCAUUCAUGAGAACAUUUGUGUAUUUCGUGUAAUAUUUUUAAAAUUCAGAAAAACAAUUACUAAACUUUCUCAAGACUUACUCACCAAAUUAGUAUCAUUGUGUAUUGUUAAAUUUAUUAUACUACAUAAAUUUUCAUUAUAUCCAAAUUAACUUUUUAAUUGUUAUUCAAGAACUUUCUAAUUAUUGAAAAGUAUGUAAGGACACAUAAUUUUGCAACAGAUCUACAUGACAAUUUUUGAAGUAGUUUGAUUAUGCUACUACUUCACUCUUAAUUUUCGUUGGUUUUCAUGAAGGUAUGCAAUAGGGAAUGGAGGUGCCAUGGAAUUUUCACAUGGAUUCUUUUUGGUGAAAAUGUCCACACCAUCAAAGCCCCAUAAUUCCUUUUUUAAUUAUUUAAAUUAUGGAUCUCUAUUUAGCUUUAAAUUUAGGGCUAAAUUUUCACUAGUUAGUAUAACGUAACAUAAGGAAAUCUAAACUUUUGUUUGCAAUGUGUUUCUUCAAUUUUUCUUUUCUACAAAUGACAAAGAGAAAAUCAUCUUUCUUUUAUUUGGUUUUUGUCUGCAAGUUGCAUUUUCUACUCACUUUUGGUUUUGCCACAUCGGUUGCCAGUUGUAUGUUUGGUGAAAUGCCCAAAAAAACUUUGAGUUUUCUAAUUUUCAAAAUUACACUCCUUGUGUCAUGACACCUUUGUUAUCUUAAUGCACCUACGGUUUUAUUAAUAGUGCCACUUAUUUUCUAAAAUAAUGUGUGGUCUAUGUUGUGCAUGUGGUCAAAUUGUUCCACCAUGCCUUUUUAAAUGGUUAUAUAUGUCUUAUAAUUUUGAAACUAUUUUAUGAAAUAUGAAAACAUUUUUACCUUGGUUGGCUUUAGAAAGCAUUUUUCUUUUAAUGUUUUGUUGUGUUAUGCAUUACCAUGCAUGUUUCUCCUUCUCUUUGACACAUAUAUAUGUAUUAUACUAAUGAUGAGAUUCAAAAUGACUUGAUUUGAAUGGCUUAAGCACUAUUUUCUGAUAUAUUAUUUUUCUAGUUGUACACUACAUUAGAAGAGUAGUAAAAAUUAUCUUCAGUCAAAUAGGUUGCAUCAGUUUAUCGAAGUAUAGUAAAUAUGGUGUGAACAUGCAUGUAAAAGCUUGGAGUUGCAAUAGUGCUACUAAGGUUUCUGGUUUUAGUUACUCUUUCAUGCCGUCGACAAUUAACUUGGGGUCCUGGCUUUAUGAUAUUUAAGUAUAAUGUGGUAACCUGUUUCAAGUUUGGUCUUUGGAAAAUGUGUAAAAGGAUAUUCAUGUUGAUUAAUACAAAUGAUUCAACACCCAUAGGAUACGAAGAGACUUUUGGUGUAUUGCUAAACUGUUGAUUACUGAAUCUGAUGGAAGGCUAACUGGAUGAUGUCUACUCCUAUAUCAAUGAUAUAGAGUCCUGGGAAAUGGAGGGUUUUUGCUUAUAAAAAAUUCAAAUAUUGAAAGUUUUAUUUGGUUAAUAUCUUGGUUUAGUGAAGAUUCUAAUAAGCAAGAAGAAAAGACGCACUUAUCUUCAAAUAAUUGUAGUUUCUCCUACAUUGAAAAAUUCAAAUAAAAAGGUUGAUCCUUUUCUGUUAGUUCCUAUCACUUUAUAUAUUUUUGGUUGUUGAGACCUCACUAUGAAAACUGAAAAGUUUCAAGUCCUUAAUAUGUUAAUUUUUCAAUAUUUUUGGAGGUUGUAGGGAUAGGUUUGUUGGUUGAGUAGAUGUUGAAGGUGCUGACGUCUGGCCUUGUAGGAGAGCUCAUUUUCUUGAAGCCAAUUUUGUUUUGAUUUAUGAAUAAUCAAGUUUAUUUAAUUUCCAUGCUUAUUAUUUCCUUUUGCAUGUGUUAUUAUUAUGCAAUAACAUUUUCAUUGAGAGUGGUGAUCCCCAUAUGUUACUCAAAAAGCAAAGAUCUAUAACUCACGAUUGAAAUGAUGCCUGGAAUUACGCACUGUUGGUUGAAGGCCAACUCAGUAUUAAAAUUUUGUACAUUAUUAUUAUGAAAAAACAGUGUUGUCCACAUGGUUCUUAGAAAAGAGAGAUUAGUAACUUAGGCAUGAAAUGACACUAGCAAUAAUAACACAAUUUUAGUAAAAGGCUAUGUCAGUUUUUAAGAGUGUUAAUUUACUAUGAAAAAUGAUGUCUUCGAGAGCGGUGGUGCCCACACACUACUUAGAAACCAAGUAUGAAUAAAUUAGGCAUGGAACGCCACUAGAAAUAACAGUGUUGGCAAAAGACCAACUUGUAAUUAUUGUUGUUCUUUUUAAAGGUAGGUCAGAGCUAGAUACGCCAAAAAUAAUAAAUUUAAAUGUCUUUUAUUUAAUAAUUAUUUAAUUUUUAGAAAAAUUAUUUCAAAUCAAAUAUUUAAUUAUGAAAAAAAUAAAUAUCUCUUAUAUUUUAAAAUAUUAAAUUUUUUAAAAAAAUUAUUCCCCAAAAUUUCUGUUAAUGGAUCCUUAAAAACAUCAUGACUGAAUAUUUUCCAGAAGACAUGUCCCAAACAUUAAAAAGGGAAAAAAAUACUAAUUGUUUGAAUUAUAUCUCUCAGGAAUGAAAAAACUUAUAUGCUACCAAACUCCCCCUUAAGAAAAACUCAAAUGGUAGAUACGGAAAAAAGAAUAAAUUUAAACGUCUUUCUUUUAAUAAUUACUUAAUUUUUAGAAAAAAAAAUUCAAAUAAAAUAUUUAAUGAUUAAAAUCAUAAAUACCUUCCAUAUCUUAAUAUAUUAAAUUCAAUUAUUUUUAUUUUCCAAAAUUCCUAUCAAAGUAUCAAGAAAAACAUUUCAAAUGAACUUGUUGGAACAAGACACAUUUCAAAUCUUAAAAAUAAUAGCAAAAUACUAAAUACAUUCAAGUUAAUAAAUUGUUUCAAAUUAAUGAAAAUUUAUAGGCAUUUCAAGAUAAUUUGAAUGUCACUCCUUAUUUGUUAAACCAUAUACAUAAUUUUAUAGUUUUUAAUUAAAAAGUAAAGAUUAGUAACUCAUGCAUGAAACAGUACCAAAGGCCAACUCAGCUUUAGAUAUUGUUAUUCUUAUUAUUAUAAAAAAAAAAGUUGUUGGGACCAUUAACAUGCGCACGAAAAGGCACUAUAAAUUUUGCAAUGCAAGAAGAAGGGAGACUGACUUUCGAAGAGCCUUGGACUUAUUUAAUGUCCUCAAUUUACUCUCUUCAUUGCUUUUCUCACCUCUUUCUCUUUUGAUUCAUCCAUGGUGAAGAAAACAACUAACUGUGCCUCCAAACUUAAGUUUAUUUCUCUUUUCUUACUCUUUUGUUCUUCCACUUUCUUCAUUUCCUUUCAUUUAGAUGCUUUAUUUUGUUGUGUUUUUUUUUCUCUCUCAUUCCAUUUCAUUGGAAUCAUAUUGAAGGAUAAUUCAAACUUAAACUCUAAGAUCAUAUAUAUUAUUUUGUAUCUAAUCACAUUUUGAAGCAUAAAACUAAACAAUUCUCUAUUCAUUCACAUUUAUGUGUACAACUAUCGCGAACGAUAUUUAAGUUUACUUAUUUCUUUUAUGAACCAUACAUACUUCCUCUGCUUCAAUGCAUAUGGAUUGAACUUCUUUUUUAUUUUUUUAUUGUUCGCACCCAAACAUGAUUUUGCAGAGAUUGAUUAAUUUUAAUUUAAGUAAGACUAUAUGGAGUUGUUGUUUUCUUUGUUUUAUAUCAUUGCAUAUUGCAAUUUCUUUUCUUGCUUUAAAAAAUGGAGGGUUGAGAAGGGACUUUUUUAACAUAUUGUCAUUUAGCUUGCAGUUAAUCUCAACUCUAUUUUCAAAGGAAAAAACUUAGAGACAUUGGAAAAAUUUUGAGCCUUUGGUUCAACAAUCAAGCCACUACUAUCAUGAAAGGAGUCUUUAGGCUUUCUUCAAGAAUUGACAAACCAUUUUGUAAGUACAAUGGUUUCAAUACAUGAAAGUGUGAACAGAAGGUUCACAUAAAUAUUGCGGACUUAUCAUUGGUUGAAAGUGUAAGGACUCCAUACAUAAAAAAAUACCACCAUAUUACAUCUUGGAUGCAUUUGGUUGGGUGUGCAUUUGACUUUCAAUUUUCGAAGACUAUUUGUCAGCUUAGAUGUCUUAGAUGUGCAAUGCAAGCCCAACAAAAGUUACAUGCUUGUAUUUUUUUUUCAAAUAGAAACUUUCAUAUAAAAUACUAUAUAUGAAUCUAUAUGGAGAUUGUGCUUAACUAUUUUUUGAUUUUUCAAAAUCUUCCAUGCUAAAUAAAAAUGAGGGAAUGGCUCAAGAUCUAUGAGUUAUUGGAAAAAGCCAAAUAUACUAUGAUAAAAAUUCUAAGGAUGUAAACAUGGUUUUGUUGAUGUUGAAGAAUGAAUUUUUGCACAAUAAAUUAAAAUGGAAAUAAUAUACUUGCAUAUAGAACUUCUACAUGCAACUACAUCUUCUUGUAAAUUUAGUGUGCAAAAUUGGAUCUUUAGGCUCAGUAAAGUCGUGUUUAACAUCCUUAGGAUUUUUAUCGUAGUACAUAUGACUUUUUCUAAUGACUGAUUGAUCUUUAGCCAUUCAUUCAUCCUAUAUAACAUAAAAGAAUAGAUAAACACAGCAAUCUCCAUAUUGAUGAUUUAUACAAAAUUUUAUUAGAAAGUUUCUUUUUUAAAACAAAAUAUAACAAAAAUAUGAUUUUUCUUUUGCAAAAUUGUAUUGCACAUAUGGGUCAUCUGGAUAGAAAAUUAGUUUUUUUUUUAAGGAAAAAGUCAAAUGCACAUGGCCACAUCUAUCCAUGAUGUAUAUGGUCGCAUGGAAUCCUAAAACUUUUAGCAUAUGAUAAGUCCACAUUAUUGAUGUGAACCCUCUCUAUCAUAUCUAUAGGAAGCUUUAGGAAAACCAUUAUACUUACAAAAUGGAUUCUCAAUAGUUGAGGAAAGCAUAAAGACCAUCUCUCUUAUAUUACCAACAUUAUCAUUGAGAACAAAGGCUCAAGAUUCUUCAAUGUACUCUAAGUUUUUUUCUUUUUUGCUAUGUAAACAAAACUUAGAUCAACUACAAAAGCUAACUAGUAAUGUGCUUAAAAAAAAAAAAAGCUCUUAUCAACCUUACAUUUAGAUGAUGGAAGAAAAAAAAUUAAAAUAUAUGCAAUGAUAAAUAAAAAGUUGUAGUCAAUAAUAUAAUAAAAGACACGAGAUCAUCAUCAUAAUUGUGGUAAAGUAGUGGUGUUUCUACUCUUAUUUCAUAGCAUAGGAAGCUCAUCCAUUUAUGAGACCAUUUGGGUAUUUCAAGUAAUAUUUUCAGAUUCAGAAAAAUAAUUAACUAAACUUUCUCCAGACUUACUCAACAAAUUAGUAUCAUUGUGUAAUUUUAAAUUUAUUAUACUUCAUAAAUUUUUCAUUAUAUCCAAAUUAAAUUUUUAAUUGUUAUUCAAGCACUUUCUAAUUAUUGAAAAGUAUGUAAGGACACAUUUUUGCAACAGAUCUACUUGGCAUUGUUUGAAGUAGAUUCAUUAUGUUACUACUUUAUUCUUAAUUUUCUUUAGUUUUCAUGAAGGUAUGCAUUGGGGGAAUGUAGGCCCUGUGGAAUUUUCACUUGGAUUCUUUUCGGUGAAAAUGUCCACACCAUCAACGCCCCAUAAUUCCUUUUUUAAUUAUUCAAAUUCUGGAUCUCUAUAUAGCUUUAAAUUAAGGGCUAAAUUUUCACUAGUUAGUAUAAUAUCACAUAAGUAAAUCUAAACUUUUUUUUGCAAUGUGUGUCUUCAAUUUUUCUUUUCUGCAAAUGAAAAACUGAAAAUAAUCUUUCUUUUACUUGUUUUUUGUCUGCAAGUUUCAUUUUCUACUCACUUUUUGUUUUGCUAGAUCGGUUGCAAGUUGUAUGUUUGGUGAAAUGCCCAAAUAAAUUUUGAGUUUUCUAAUUUUCAAAAUCACACUGUGUUCCUUUUGUCAUGACACCCUUGUUAUCUUAGUGCACCUACCGUUUUAUUAUUUUUCCAUACCACUUAUUUUCUGAAAUAAUGCGUGGUACGUGUUCUGCAUGUGGUCCGAUUGUUCCACCAUAAAGUAAAACUCUUUAAAAUUGAGUUGGCCUUCUGCUAACACUGCAUCAUUUUUGUUCUCAUUUCUUGCAUGAUUUGCUGAUCCCUGCUUUUUAAGUAUUGGUUAGGGAUCAUCAUUCUCAACAACCAUGUUUUUUCAUAAUAUUAUUUGAGAUUAACUUUUAUGUACACAAAUUAUAAGAAUUUUAUACUGUAUAUGAAUAUGUUUUUUUACACACAUGUAGUAAAUGUAUUUUUGUUGGUUAAAAUUCAUUAAAAAUAAUGAAAUUAUGAGUAUGGUUAAGAAAUAAGGAGUGACAUUCACAUAAUUUUGUAUUUUGAAUAAUUUUUAAUUAAUAGUGAAAACUAUAUUAACUCAAAUGUUUUAGUAUUUUUCUACUUUUUUUAACAUCUGAAAUGUGUCUUCUAAAUGCUUUAUAAACAUAAUUUAAUAGAAAUUUUGGUAAAUGGUUUUUUAAUUUAAUAUAUUAAAAUAUAAGAGGCAUUUAUUUUUUUCAUCAUUAAAUAUCUUAUUUGAAAGAAAUUUUCUAAAAAUUAAAUAUUAUUAAAUGAAAGACAUUUAAAUUUAGAUAUUAUUUUUCCUAAAUCUGCAAUUUGAACUCCCCUUAAAAGAACAAUAAUUAAAACGGAUUUGGUCUUCUACCAACACUAAGAAACUUCUGAUAUCAUUUUAUGUACAAGUUCGUGAUCCUUCCUUUUUAAGUAUCACAUCGCUCUCAACAAUAAUGUUUUUUCAUAAUAAGAACACUAUUUAAAACUGAGUUGGCCUUCUACUAACACUGCGUAGUUUCUGGUGUCAUUUCAUGUAAAAAUUACUAAUUCAUGCUUUUUAAGUAUUGUGUGAGGACCAUUGCUAUCAAUUACAAGGAUUUUUUUUUAUAUAUAGUAAUAAGAGUAAAGCUUUGUUAAAUGCUAAAAAAUGUCAUUUGUUAAAGUACGUAGUGUCUAUCUAUGAGAGAACAUGGUCCUUUCUCAAAAUAUAAUAGUACAAAAUAUUUAAAAUUGUUAAUAUAGUCUCAUAUUUGAGAAUGAAUAUAUUAGCAAGUUAUAUUUUUUUAAAUAUUUGAACAAACUUAAAGUUAUACUUAAUUUAUAAUAUAUUAUAUUUCUUCUAAGAAACAAAUGAGAGUUUGCAUUUAUUUAAGCUUGUAACACAGGCACAUUUUUUUCGUGAUUAUUUAGUUUAUUACGAGUAUCCUUGCACAAAAUAUAACCUCAAAAAAGUAUAAUAAAAUUAAGAAUAUUGUUUAAACAAAAGGGGAAAUUAAACCACUCUAUGUAAUUGUAUUAAUAUAAAAUUGAUGGACAACCGCAAAUAUUGAGAACUCUAUUGAGGAUAUAACAUUAACUACAGGUAUUCCAACAUAAAGAGAGAUACCCCAGGAUUAUCCAAAUGCAACUAAUAAUUUUGAGAUAUGGAGCACAUACAUAGGCGUUAGAAAUAGAUCGAAUAACUUUCUAAGCAAGAUACUUUUUAGAGUGAGGAGGUAAAGUUUUAUCAUCUUAUGGAGUUGGAAGUGGCUUUUGAAUUGGGAAAGGUGGCAGAAGUGGUUUCUGGAAUUUAGGGUCAAGUGGCAAUUUAGGAACAGGGUUUUCAAAGAAAGGCUUCGACUGCUCAGCAGCGGGGAUGGGUUUUUUCACUGUAAAAGGUUUUGGUACAGGUUUAAUAACUGGAAUUGGUUUUGUUAUAGAUUUAACAACAGGAAUUUGUUUAACAAUGAGAAUUGGUUUUUGUGUUGGCUUAUAUACUGGAAUAGGAAUAAGUUUUACAACAAGAAUUAGUUAUGGGAUAGGCUUAACUACUGGAAUGGGUUUUGGAAAAUGUUCUUUAAAUUUUGCUUCUUCAUUAGAAAUUGACUUAUCAAUUUGAACUGACUUGUUAAUAGACUUGACAAUGGAAAUCAGUUUUGGUAUAGGAUUAUAUACUAGAAUAGGAAUAUGUUUAAAAACAGGUAUUGGCUUUGGGAUAGGUUUAAUUGGUUGUGUUUAGGAAAAAGCCAUAUAUCUCUUGGAUACAUGUGGCCUAGUGCGUUUGAAUUUUUACUUUCAAAGACUAAUUUUCUAUCCAGGAGUCCCAUAUGUGCAGUACAAUUUUGCCAAAGAAAAAAAUAAUAUUUUUCUUAUAUUUUACAAAUAGAAUUUUUCUUAUAAUAUAUUAUGUAUAAAUUAUUAUGGAAAUUGUGUUUUUCUAUUUUUUUUUUAAUUUUUCAAAAUAUUUUAUGUUUAAUAGAAUGAAUGAAUGGCAGAAGAUAAAUCAGUCAUUGUAAAAAAAUCAAAUGUACACCGAUAAAAAUGCUAUGGAUGUUAAACAUGACUUUACUGAGCUAGAAGUUCUAUAUGCAAGUACAUUAUUUUCAUUUUAAUGUACUGUGCUAAAAUUUGAUCUUCAACUUUAGCGAAGUGAUGUUUAACAUCGUUAAAAUUUUUAUAUGUAAUAUUUUUGCUCACCAUGACAGAUUUUGGAAAAUAAAAAAAUAGAUAAGCACAAUCUCCAUUUGAUUCAUAUGUAAUAUUUUACAUAAAAUAUUCUAUUUGAAAAAAAAAUACAAGCAAGUAACUUUCCUAUGGAAAAAAUUGCAUUGCGCAUCUAAGACAUCUAGGCAGAAAAAUAAUCUUUGAAAAUUUUAAGUCAAAUGCACCAAGCCACAUGUAUGCAAGAUGUAAUGUAGUGGUAAUUUUUUCAUGUAAGGAAUUAAUCUUGAUUCUUUCAACCAAUGAUAAGUCCACAAUAUUGAUGUGAGCAUUCCCUAGCAUACCUUUAAUGGAAUCACUGUACUUACAAAAUGGGUUGUCUCAGUACUUGAAGAAAGGAUAAAGACUCCCUCCAAGAUAUUAGUGCCUUGAUCGUUGAACCAAAGACUCAAAAUAUGCAACGAUAAAAAUCAAAGAAACGAACAACUCCACAUAGUUUUACUUACAUUAAAAUCAAUCUCUGCGAAAUCAUGUUUGGCUGCAAAAAAAUAAAAAGGAAGUUCAAUCCAUAUGCAUUGAAGCAAAGGAACUAUGUAUGGUUAAUUAAAGAAAUAAGCAAACUUAAAUACCGUAUGUGAUAUUUGUACACACAAAUGUAAAGGAAUAGAAUAUUAUUUAGUUUUAUGCUUGAAAAUGUGAUUAGACACAAAGUAAUAUAUAAUUAUUAGAGUUUUAUUCUGAAUGAUUUCAAUGAAAUGGAGUGAGAGAAAAAAAAACAAUAAAAUAUCUAAAUGAAAGAAAAUGAAGAAAGUGGAAGGACAAAAGAAUAAGGAAAGAGAUGUAAACAUAAGUUUGGAGUCAUUGUUCGUGUUUUUGCUGCACCAUGGAUUAAUCAAAAGGAGAAAGAGGUGAGAAAAGUAAUGAAGAGAGAAAAUUGAACAAAGACAUUAAAUAAGAAGUAGUGAUGAAAAUCUUGAAACUGACCAAAUACAGGUUAAAGGCCUAAGUGAAGAAGGACGAAGGCCCAAGUGGAGAAGGACAAAGCUCCCGAGUGGAGAAGGAUGAAGGUCCAGAGGCAGAGACACUAAUCAAGACUAUUAAUUGUUGCUGAAGGUCCAAACUAAUUUGAAGACCCAAGUUAAAUAUGUUUUUAGUUAUAAUUUUUAAUUAUUGUAAUUUUGGCCCAAACUGUUUAGAAGACCCAUGUCUAUUUUUAUCUUUUUGUUCAGAUACACUAUAAGUAUUGGUUUUUGUUUCAAUAAAAAAAAACUUUUGACAUUUGAUAAAUUUGGUGAGAGUUUCUCUUUGGGUUCCUUGUUAAACCAAUUAUCAGACUUAUCAAGGUAAUCCUUGUGGCGUCUAUCCUGACUUAUCUUCCCUCUUUGGAAGUGGCGUCAUCCAGAACUCCAUAGCCUUAUCAAACGUUCCGCCCCGUAAGAUUCACAUCAAGUAGGCUCUUCAGAAGUGAGCUGGCCUUCUCCCAGCACUUCAUCAUUUUCGGUGUUAUUUCCCGUGAGUUACUAAUCCCUGUUUUCUAAGUAUCAUGUGAGGACCACUACUCUCAAUGAUAACUUUUUUCCCUUAAUAAUAAGAGUAACGCUCUUAAAAAUUGAGAUGACCUUCUACCAACACUAUUAUUUUUUGUCAUUUCAUGCGCAAGUUACUUAUUCCUCCUUUUUAAGUACCACAUGAGGGCCACCACUCUCAAUGGCAACAUUUUUUCAUAAUAAGAUUUGACAUUUGGUUAUAUGGAGUAUGAACACAUUUUUCCUAAACAUAUUUUUAUUGGUUAAAAUUAAUUAAGAACUAUAAAAUUAUAAAAUUAUGUGUAUGGUUUAACAAAUAAGGAGUGACAUUCACAUUAUUUUGAAAUGUCAAUAAAAUUUAAUUAAUUGUAAAAAAAUUAUUAACUUGAAUGUAUUUGGUAUUUCCCUAUUAUUUUUAAGGUUUGAAAUGUGUCUUCUUCAAACAUGUUCAUCUUUAAUGUUUUUUCUUGAUACUUUAAUAGGUUUGAAAAUAAAAAUGAUUUAAUUUAAUAUAUUAAAAUAUGAAAAUCAUUUAUGAUUUUCAUCAUUUAAUAUUUUAUUUGAAACAACUUUCGUAAAAAUUAAAUAAUUAUUUAAUAAAAGACAUUUAAAUUUAUUCUUUUUCAUUAUCUACCAUUUGAUUUUUCCUUAAACGAAUAAAAAUAACUUAAUCUAAGUUGGCCUUCUGCAAGCACUGCGUGAUUUCUAGUGUCAUUCAAUGCACGAGUUAUUGAUUUGUAUUAUUUGAGCACCAUGUGGGGACAAUUGUUGUCAAAGACAACAUUUUUUCAUAAUAAUAAGAGUAACACUCUUUAAAAAGAUGCAAAGCUUUGCUUCUAUUUUGGUGUCAUUUCAUGCCCGAGUUAAUGAUGAUUGAUUUCUAAGUAACGUGUGGGGACCACUGUUCUCAACAAUAAUAAAUUUCUUAUACUAAUAAGGGUAACACUCUUUAAAACUAAGUUGGCAUUCUUCCAACACUAUGUCAUUUCUGGUGUCAUUUCAUGUGCUUGUUAUGGAUCCCUGCUUUCUAAGUAUCGAGUGGGGACCAAUACUUUUAAUGACAAUGUUUUUAAUAAGAAUAAGGGUAAACAAUCUUUAAAAUUGAGUUAGCCUUCUGUUGACAUCAUGUCAUCAUUUCUAGUGUAAUUUCAUGUGCUUGUUUCUCAUCCCUACUUUUUAAGAACCGUGUGGGGACCAACGCUCUCAUUGACAGCAUUUUUUCAUAAGAAAGAGGAACAAUGUUAAAAAUUGACAAGCCUUUUUUACUAGAACUGCACCAUUUCUAGUUUCAUUUCAUGCACGAGUUACUUAUCCCUCCUUUCUAAACCACCAUUCUAACCAACAAUGUUUUUUAUAUCAACAAGGUACCACAUUUUAAUACUAACUUCGUCUUUUGUUGGCAUUGGGUCAUUUUUUGUGUCGUUUCAUGUGCAAGUUAUUGAUCCUUGCUUUCUAGGUAACGUAUGAGGACUACAACUCUGAAUGAAAACAUUUUUACAUAAUAAUAAGAGUUACACUCUUUAAAACUGAGUUGAUCUUCUACCUGUAAUGGGUCAUUUCUAGUGUCGUUUCAUUUGCUAGUCUUUGAUCCCAACUUCUAAGUAACAUAUUAGGACAACUGCUCUCACCGACAACAUUUUUUUUAUUAUAAUAAUAAAGAGUAACACUCUUAAAAACUGAGAUGGCCUUCUCCAAGCACUACAUAAUUUCUGGCGUCAUUUCGCGCAAGAGUUACCGAUCCCUCUUUCAUAAGUACUGCAUUGGGACCACCGGUCUUAUUGGCAACAUUUUUUCAUAACAAAAUUUGACAUUAGUUUGAUACAGAUUCCGAACACAUUUUGUACUAAACAUAUUUUUAUUGGCUAAAAUUAACUCAAAAUUAUAAAAUUAUGUGUAUCUUUAACAAAUAAGGAGUGACAUUCACAUUAUUUUGAAAUAUUAAUAAAUUAUAUUUAUUUGUGAAAAAUGUAUUAACUAAAAUGUAUUUAGUAUUUUUCUACUAUUUUUAAGAUUUGAAAUGUGGUGUCUUCUUCAAACAUUUUUUUAUUUGAAAUUCUUUUUUGAUACUAUAAUAUAAAUAUUGGUAAAUAAAAUGAUAUAAUUUAAUAUAUUAAAUUUCACAAAUAUAUUAUUUUCAUCAUUAAAAAUUUUAUUUGAAAUAAUUUUUCUAAAAAUUAAAUAGUUAUCAAAUGAAAGGCAUUUGAAUUUAUUCUUUUUCGAACAUCUUCCAUUUGAAUUUCCAUUAAAAGAACGGAAAUGAUUAAAAUUGAGUUGGCUUUCGGCUAGCACUACGUCAUUUCUUGUGUUAUUUCAUGUGCAAGUUAUUGAUCCCAGCUUUUUUGAGUAGCAUGUGCAGACCACUACUCUUAAUGACAACAUUUUUCAUAACAAGGAAGAGUAAUGCUCUUCAAAACAAAUGUAGCCUACUGCCAGCAUUGCACAAUUUAUAAUGCCAUUUAAUGUGCAAAUUACUAAUCUCUCCUUUCUACAUACUGUUUGGGGACCACUAACCAUAAUGUUUUUUUUCAUAAUAAUAAGGUAACACUCUUUAAAUCUGAGUUGGCUUCUGCCAGCACUGCAUCAUUUAAAGUGUUAUUUCAUGCGCGAGUUACUUACCCCUGCCUUUUAAGUAAUGUCUAGGACAACUGCUCUAAAACAAUGGAUUUUCAUAAUAAUAAGAGUAACACUCUUUAAAACUGAAAUGACCGUCUACCAGCACUGCAAAAUAUAUAGAGUCAUUUCACACGCAUGUUACUUAUCCCUGCUUACUAUGUACCAUGAGGGGAACAUCUCUCCCAACAACAACAUUUUUUCAUAAUAAUAAGAGUAGCAAUAUUUAAAAUUGAGAUGACCGAUCUUCUAUCAGAACUGUGUAAUUUCUGGUGUCAUUCCAUGCACGAGUGAGUAAUCCCUCCGUUCUAAGUAUCGCAUGGGGACCACCACUCUCAAUGGCAACACUUUUUCAUAAUAACUUUUGACAUUAGUUUGCUACCUAAUACAAACACAUUUUCUUACAAAGUUGUACUAAACAUAUUUUUAUUGAUUUAAAUUAAUUAAAAAUAUUAAAAAUUAUUUGUAUGGUUUAACAAAUAAGGAGCGACAUUCACAUUAUUUUGAAAGGUCAAUAAAUCUUAAUUAAGUUGAGCUUCUGUCAGCACUACAUGAUUUCUGGUGUUGUUUCAUGCCCGAGUAUGUGAUGAUUGCCUCCUAAAGUAAUGUGUGGGGACCACCGCUCUCAAAUACAAUGAAAUUUUAUACUAGAUGGAGAAACACUCUUUAAAAUUGAGUCAGCCUUCUGCCAGCAUUGCAUUGUUUCGGGGAACAUUUCACGCGCAAGUUACUAAUUUUUGCUUUGUAAGUAGUAAGUACCUUGUGGGGACAACUGUUCUCAAUAAUAAUGGACACUACUAGAAAAAAGACAUUCUACAUCGAUUGUAAGGGACAUUCUACAUCGGUUUAUGACCGUUGUUGUAGGAGAUGAUGUUAAAAGUGGUCACCUAUUCUACGAUGAUUGUCAAUGACCAUCUUAGAAUGUUCAUCAUUCUACAUCGAUCCUUUAGUUGUGAUCGAUGUAAUAAACGCAGCAUUCUGCGACGGUCACAACUGCAGGACCGAUGUAGAAUGCUAAUUUUUCUACAACGGUCGUUGAAGAACCGAUUUAGAAUAUUGAACCUUCUAAGACGGUCUUGAACACGCGAUCGUCUUAGAAUGAUUAGUAUUUCUACAUCGGUCAUGUCAUAACCGAUGUAGAAAUGCUAAAUUUUUUUUAUAUUUUUUAUAUUUGGAGACUUUACAUCCCCAAAAAUGAAAAAGAUGCUUUUCAUUUGCCUGUAAAAGAUAGUGAGGAUCAAUUGAUCAACCCUAUGAUCACCAAAUUAUCAAUAUAAUAUAACCUCAAUAAGCACAUAUGUAAAUAAGCAGGUUUGGAAGUAGGGAUAAAUAAUUAAAUAUAUUAACAUAAUAGGCUACAAUUCUGUAUUACCUUUUCAAAAAUCAUAAUGGUCUCUUCAUUCUUUCCAAUAAUAGUUUCAACUUUCAUUUAGAAUAUACAUCAGAAUUUAGACAUUAAGCGAUCAAUUCAAGGAAAUUUCAUGUAAAGUAGGGAAAUGCUGCAAUCCUUUAGCAGGGGUAUCACUUCGUAAAAAAAUUCAAGCAGUCAACUCAUAGGAAUAGCAUUGACAUAAUUUACUGAGUCCACAAAGUUCUUUCAGCUUGUUAUCAACAAACCUGAGGAAUGAAUGAAAUGAUGUCCUUUGCAGUAGACCCAAGUUCUGCUAAAGCUGUCAUAGCCUCAAGAACAUAAGGACAAUGUCUGCCAAAAACGCAUCAACAAAGAAUUUCAUCUUAAACUCAAGUAGAAAAUUGAUAAAUAAUAAUAUAGGUCAUAUGAAAGAUGCAAAUGCCCAAAGCUUAAUCCAAGUAACCAAUUGGGUAAGUCCAUAACACAAUCAAUACUGCCCAAAGAGAAAACAAACAGUCAUAAUUGAAAUAUGGAAAAGAGCUUCAUUUUCCUGUGGUUAUUUUGUCAAGUAGAUAGAAAGAAACAUGAUUUGAGAUGACAUUUUCCUGUGAUAUUUUAUCUUCUUACAAGAAAUGCUAUAUGAGAUGCCACUUUUAAUGCCAAUAAAUUAUCGUGAUCGGUGAUUUAAAAUAAUACCUCCCACAAAAAGACAAAAUAUCAUAAGGAGAUGUAAUUUGAAAGCAUGUAUGCAAAUUUGAGUUGAGUAUAUGUCCUAAGCUAGUUACACUAAUGAAACAGAGAAAUUGGGUUGGUACUUGCUAUCCCUGUUCUGCUUGUCAUAACCUGAAGAAAGAGAAACCACCAGAGGUUUUUCAUUAAUUCCAUCAUUAACAAAACCUCAAAAUGAACCAAAAACAAAAUUUAUAUAAGUUAAGUUAUCAAAUAGGGUGUUCCAUUACCCAUAGGAUAUUUCUGAUUUUCAAUACUUCAUAUCCAGAAGUGAGCCAUGAUUUCAAAGUAUAUUUUACUGUACCUUCAUGAAGCAAAUAAUGUUAGACAACUAUAGAGAAAUUAUUUAUAAUAAGAAAAUCAAAGUUUAAAACCAAGGAAAAGCAGUAAAGUUUUUCUAGAAUACUAAACUGAAGGAUGGAAAGAUGAAGAACAUCAAGGUAGCAGAUCUCAGCUUAAAAACUUUUGUUUCUAUUUAGUUCAGUAACAGGCAUUACCAAUAAAUUUAAGAGGAUAUGAAUUUUCCAAGAGAUUGAAAGCAAGGAAUUAUACGAAUUUUCCAAAAUUCAGGAUGUUAAUUAAAUCCCUUUCUAUGCAGCUCAGCCCAAUCAACAUACCUGCAUUGCACUAGCCCGCAAACUACCAUCUAGGUUACAAAAGCAUCAUCAAAAUAAUUAAUGUUAUUUAAUUCUGAUACCACUUGAUGGAAGCUUGCUUGUGGGGAGGCUGGAUCUUUGAGUUUCAAUGGGGUCCUUUAAUGGUGAUUUUCCACCACGGAGAUGCAGCGGAAGACAAAGGAAAAGAGGUGAGAGGAGGCGCCAUCCAUUAAGGAAUAAGCCAUGGAAGAAGGAGCUUCACCACCAAGAUGAGCCUUGGAUAAGAAGCUUGGAGAGGAUGCUUCAAUGGAGGAAAAGAAAGAGGGAGAGAAAGAGAGAGGGGGGAGCACGAAAUUGAAGGAAGAAAAAGGGAGAGAAGUUGAACUUUGAGUUGUGUCUCACAAGACUCUCAUUCAUCAAAGUUACAACAAGUGUUACACGUGCUUUUAUUUAUAGACUAGGUAGCUUCCUUGAGAAGCUUUCUUAAGAAAACUUCCUUGAGAAGCUUCUUUGAGAAAACUUCCUUGAGAAGCUAGAGCUUAGCUACACACACCCAUCUAAAAACUAAGCUCACCUCCUUGAGAAGCUUCCUUGGGAAGCUAGAGCUUAGCUACACACACCCAUCUAAAAAUUAAGCUCACCUCCUUGACAAAAUACAUGAAAAUACAAAAAAAAGUCCCUACUACAAAGACUACUCAAAAUGCCCUAAAAUACAAGGCUAAAACCCUAUACUAAUAGAAUGGCCAAAAUACAAGGCCCAAAAGAAGGAAAAAUCUAUUCUAAUAUUUACAAAGAAGAGAGGACCCAACCUUGGUCCAUGGGCUCAGAAAUCUACCCUGGGAUUCAUGAGAAUCCCAAGGCCUUCUUUAGCAGCUCUAGCCCAAUCCUCUUGGAGUCUUCUAUCCAAUACCCUUGCGGGGUAGGAUUGCAUCAUUCAAUCUCUUCUCCGUCUCUCUGACGUUUGAGAAUUCUUUCGGAGCAGUCGGAGGAAUAACUGAAGAAAUCUGAGGGAACCGCUAGAGAUGUUACUAUCGCUGGCUGAAGACACGUGAGUCCUCUCAGAGGUAAGGGAUGAGUUAUUCACCAUUGGGGAUUAGUAAGAACAUGUGUAGAGAUCCUUAGAGAUAUCAAUUGGAAUGAACUUCGGGGUGUUUUUGCAAUUUUCAUUUUAUCCUUAUAAUUAUUACAGUGAAUUAUAUUUGUUUGAUGAAUCAGUUGAUGUCCCAAUGAGAAAUGGCUGUGAGAUUGAUGUGUUCUUGUAUUGAGUGUGGACUCCUUAGAAAAAUUAAGCUCUUUUUAUUAACGAAAAUUAUAUUUUAAAUAAUAUUAUUCAAUGACUUAUUUUAUACAAAUUAUUAUCUUGUUCUAAUUUUUCUACGAUGAUGAUCAACAUGUUAUGUGUAUAUAAUUAUUGUAAUACUAGAAUAAUAAAUUAAAGAAAAUUGUAAGGUUAAUGCCUAGUGGUAAUUUCUUUUGAUGUAAUAUUAAAUUGUUAUAGAAAUCCUUUGAUUAAAAACAAUGUAGUUUUGUUUACUAUAUACAUAUACAUAUAUAUGUUUUGUAUCAUGCAAAUAUUAUUAUUGUGUGAUGUGUGUAUGAGUUAUAAGGUGUAAUAAGUUAUUAUAAUGGUAUUAUAAUAUUAUUGUGAAGAUUGAGUAGUACAAAGUUGAAUGUGUCAAUUUGCGAGAUACAUGUAAAAAAAAUGAGAUGGUUGAUGUGAUAUUAUGAGAUGUUAAAUUGUGGGCAUGAUAUUUGAUUGUGAAUAAGUGUGUGUUUGACACUUGAUGUGACAAUAAUUAUAUUGUGAGCUAUGAAUUAUACAAUAAUCCGACCAGUGUUAUCUUGAGAAAAGCGUUGAUGCGCAGUGUUUAAGAGAAAGUGUAGGUUUCCUAUUCAGGAACCAGUGUUAAAUUGUAGCGCAAUGUGUUAAACGUGUUUGAAACACGAGUGUGAGAUUGUGAGUAUUGUAUAAUUCAUGAGCAAUGCUUAUAAAUGAAAUAUGUGAUGAAUUGUGGAAUAAUAUGUUGCCUUGAGAUUAUAAUGUUGUUAUUGAGAUUGAGUAAAAGUGUAAGUAGAACAAGUGUUGAAUUGUGAGAUACGUGAAAACAUGUGAUGGUGGAUUGUGACAUUAUGAGAUGUGAAAUUGUGAAUGAGUUUUG
rnacentral:lncRNA from 1 species